AUUGAACGCUGGCGGCAGGCUUAACACAUGCAAGUCGAGCGGGGGAAGGUAGCUUGCUACCGGACCUAGCGGCGGACGGGUGAGUAAUGCUUAGGAAUCUGCCUAUUAGUGGGGGACAACAUCUCGAAAGGGAUGCUAAUACCGCAUACGUCCUACGGGAGAAAGCAGGGGAUCUUCGGACCUUGCGCUAAUAGAUGAGCCUAAGUCGGAUUAGCUAGUUGGUGGGGUAAAGGCCCACCAAGGCGACGAUCUGUAGCGGGUCUGAGAGGAUGAUCCGCCACACUGGGACUGAGACACGGCCCAGACUCCUACGGGAGGCAGCAGUGGGGGAUAUGGGACAAUGGGGGGAACCCUGAUCCAGCCAUGCCGCGUGUGUGAAGAAGGCCUUAUGGUUGUAAAGCACUUUAAGCGAGGAGGAGGCUACUCUAGUUAAUACCUAGGGAUAGUGGACGUUACUCGCAGAAUAAGCACCGGCUAACUCUGUGCCAGCAGCCGCCGUAA
rnacentral:rRNA from 1 species